rnacentral:rRNA from 1 species
AGUGAACGCUGGCGGUAGGCCUAACACAUGCAAGUCGAACGGCAGCACAGUAAGAGCUUGCUCUUACGGGUGGCGAGUGGCGGACGGGUGAGGAAUACAUCGGAAUCUACUUUUUCGUGGGGGAUAACGUAGGGAAACUUACGCUAAUACCGCAUACGACCUACGGGUGAAAGCAGGGGAUCUUCGGACCUUGCGCGAUUGAAUGAGCCGAUGUCGGAUUAGCUAGUUGGCGGGGUAAAGGCCCACCAAGGCGACGAUCCGUAGCUGGUCUGAGAGGAUGAUCAGCCAGACUGGAACUGAGAACCGGCCCAGACUCCUACGGGAGGAAGCAGUGGGGAAUAUUGGACAAUGGGGGCAAGCCUGAUCCAGCCAUACCGCGUGGGUGAAGAAGGCCUUCGGGUUGUAAAGCCCUUUUGUUGGGAAAGAAAAGCAGCAGGUUAAUACCCCGCUGUUCUGACGGUACCCAAAGAAUAAGCACCGGCUAACUUCGUG